UUUGAAUUAAGUCAUUGUGGCAAGCUCAUGAGAGAAAACAAGAACCAUUACUGACGGAAACUGGAAGAAAUAACUGCAAACCCAAGAGGAAAGCUACCCCGUAGCUUCAGGCUCCCUGUCACCAUCUACUGUUCUCUCCCUAUCGCCACCUAAUGAGCCUGUACUGCUCUCCAGCUUCUCGGGGUAGCCUGAUUACAUUUCUACCGAAGCCCUAUUAUCUGACAAAACAGAUCGUCACGAUCUGUUUGCCUAAACCCCACUGCAGUUCCCACGGGCUACACUAAUCAUUUCCCCUUUUAAUCUGUUGAGUCGUAUUGCGAUUUCAUACCCAGUUGCUGCUGCUGCCUGAUUGCGCCCGCAGAGGCAGCUGUGAGCAGAGGUACCCGAAAAUACAAAAUAAAAACCUUUGCUUUUCUCGGGUUUGCGGUCAAGUGCAAGUAUGCUCCUGUGCUUGCCACAGGAUGAAGCCUGCCGUUCCUGCUUGGCAUUGCUUAGGGCCAGCCGGCACCGAGAUGUUUAACAGUGCGCGUGACUCGUGCGACGCGGAGAUGCGCUCCAGGGCAGCAGGGACACCGCGGCGGCUGCGGGCCCAGACGCAGCUGCUGACCGGGGUCGUCCGCGAGGAUGCGCAAGGCCAGGAGUCGUUCGUUGUCCCGGGAAUGGCCGCGUGUCACCUGUCCCGGACUGCAGCUGCUCGCAGCUCCCGCAGGCGCCAGCGGAUCCCUGCGGCUCUGUCUGCAGUCACAGGAUGGAGCAGAGGCCUCUUUCCCGAGAGACGGCGAGUGGCAGCGACACUUAACUCGCCCCUAAAACCACGUCCAGGCUCAGGGCCGUGGGGCUUCACGGACCGGACGAGACGAGACGAGCGCCCGGGACCGAUCCAACACGACUUGGUUCACCAGCGAAUGGCCCCAAAUAAAUACAAAUGCAGCCACCUGGGAGUCUCAGCACCGCUUGUAGCUCUCGCCGAGCAGCAGCGCAGGGUUUUUCCUGUAGCUUUAACUACAGCAAAGCCCUGUAACCAUGACCAAAAACACAAAUCAGCUGAAAACCUGGAAAAAAGUCCAUGAAGCUUAUAAUGAAGCAGCACCUUGUCACUACCUCGAAAUAAAAGGACAGGUGACAGCA
rnacentral:lncRNA from 1 species